rnacentral:rRNA from 1 species
UUCCGGUUGAUCCUGCCGGAGGUCACUGCUAUCGGGGUUCGAUUAAGCCAUGCGAGUCGAGAGGGUUCGGCCCUCGGCGUACUGCUCAGUAACACGUGGAUAACCUGCCCUAAGGAAGGGGAUACCCCCGGGAAACUGGGGAUAAUACCCUAUAGGUUACAGAUGCUGGAAUGCUCUGUAACCGAAAGUUCCGGCGCCUUAGGAUGGAUCUGCGGCCGAUUAGGUUGUUGUCGGGGUAACGGCCCAACAAGCCAGUAAUCGGUACGGGUUGUGGGAGCAAGAGCCCGGAGUUGGAUUCUGAGACACGAAUCCAGGCCCUACGGGGCGCAGCAGGCGCGAAAACUUUACAAUGCGGGCAACCGUGAUAAGGGAACCUCGAGUGCCUGUAUAUGCAGGCUGUCUGGGUGUCUAAAACACACCUAAAGAAAGGGCCGGGCAAGACCGGUGCCAGCCGCCGCGGUAAUACCGGCGGCUCGAGUGGUGGCCACUUUUAUUGGGCUUAAAGCGUUCGUAGCUGGGUUAUUAAGUCCCUUGGGAAAUCCGACGGCUUAACCGUCGGGCGUCUAAGGGAUACUGGCAAUCUUGGAACCGGGAGAGGUGAGGGGUACUUCGGGGGUAGGAGUGAAAUCCUGUAAUCCUCGAGGGACCACCUGUGGCGAAGGCGCCUCACCAGAACGGCUUCGACAGUGAGGGACGAAAGCUGGGGGAGCAAACCGGAUUAGAUACCCGGGUAGUCCCAGCCGUAAACGAUGUGCGUUAGGUGUAUCGGUGACCACGAGUCACCGAGGUGCCGAAGGGAAACCGUGAAACGUACCGCCUGGGAAGUACGGUCGCAAGGCUGAAACUUAAAGGAAUUGGCGGGGGAGCACCACAACAGGUGGAGCCUGCGGUUUAAUUGGACUCAACGCCGG